GUCUGAAUCAUGGUCUAUUGUCGAAAACGUCAUGUUCUGAUGAAAUGACAUGGAAUCCCCUGCAUGGCCUUAAAAAAAAUAGAUCAUUUGGGAAGAUCGAAACACAAACCCGCACUAUAAAAGGAAUUUGCUUUAGUAAGCACGUGAAUGUGGUCCAGGCCGAGCCAGAGUUCACCCGAAGGGUCGCCGAAACCUUGGCGAUAUUCCAACCAUGUUCGGUUGAAAUCCAACGAACCGUUGAUUCUCCGCUGAAUUACCAGCCACCCCCCUCCCGCACCCUUCUGCUCACAGUAGACUGGAAACGGGUCACUGUUCUGUGGCGCGAUUUUAUAGAUACCGCUAUCCCGUUGCUGGCUCUGUAGGUCUUUACAUGAUUGGGCUUCUAAAAUAAAUAGAAGUGCGAACAUAAGACUGACACACAAAGAGCUUGUCCACUUGGGAAGUUAAUAAAAGGAAGUCUCACCAUCACGUUCGAAUUAUGAUUGAUUCAUUGUUUGGGUGAGCUAUUCAAGCGCGCCUAUAGGCGAUAACGAUACAGUGGCACUUCAUAAUCGAACAUUUUCACGACCCUUGUACAGUUCCAAACAGGCGUAGAAAAUGAGCCCCUGAUAGACAUUACUUGAACAAAGAACAUGCCACAGUUGUUAUGUCUUUUUUAAUGAUAACUGUCAGGUAAACGUUCUAGCACGUUCUAAGCAGUUCUAUUUAAUUGACAAGGGCACAUUCAGUAGCUAAUAAUUGCUUUUUCUGCAUCAUAAUUGGAUAAGUUCCCGAAGACAAUAGCGUAGCCAUGAUACCCUCUUGCGUCUUUUAAUGAUGAUGAAUCUCGCAUUAUAUAAUAAAAUAACCUUUAUGCAUACCUUUUUUGCCUGGAGUUUCUUUGGUGUCCUAAAGAAAACGAACAACUAUGAUUAGAAAGAAAAUAAACGUCCGAAACUUGAA